CGCCAACGCCUCGAAGGCUCCAACAGUAUGAGAAGGGAGGCGUACACUGCUGAGGAAACUGGCGUAGUAUUUGGGCGCCAAAUUUGAAUGACGACAAUGGGGAAAGUUGAGCUUUCAGAGGAAGAAAUCGCGACAUCUUUGCAGUAAUAGGGUAGAUUGGACAAAAGGGACUGUUUUCCGAGUAUAUAUAUAUACAUAUAUAUGUUAAUACUGGUGAUUAAACUGUAUAACAGAAUCUAUCGCUUUUAAAUGUCUGUAAUCUCAUGAUCAAUUGAAUUUGCUUCGUAUAUAAUAAUAUACACAUACAGAAAGGAGUAGUCUAGCACUCCAUAGGUCUUAAAAAUA